rnacentral:rRNA from 1 species
UACGGAGGAUCCGAGCGUUAUCCGGAUUUAUUGGGUUUAAAGGGUGCGCAGGCGGGAGAUUAAGUCGGCGGUGAAAUUUUGCAGCUUAACUGUAAAAGUGCCAUCGAUACUGGUUUCCUUGAGUGUAGAUGAAGUAGGCGGAAUUUGUGGUGUAGCGGUGAAAUGCAUAGAUAUCACGAGGAACUCCGAUUGCGAAGGCAGCUUACUAAGCUACUACUGACGCUCAGGCACGAAGGCGUGGGGAUCAAACAGGAUUAGAUACCCGGGUAGU